rfam:Dipodomys ordii contig_9100, whole genome shotgun sequence.
GGGAAGGUAGCUCAGUGGUAGAGUGCUUGCCUUGCAUGCAUGAAGCCCUGGGUUCAAUUCCUCAGCACCA